UACAGAGGUCUCAAGCGUUGUUCGGAUUCAUUGGGCGUAAAGGGUGUGUAGGUGGCGCCGUAAGUCAGGUGUGAAAUCUCGGGGCUUAACUCCGAAACUGCAUUUGAUACUGCGGUGCUUGAGGACUGGAAGAGGAGACGUGGAAUUUAUGGUGUAGCAGUGAAAUGCGUAGAUAUCAUAAGGAAGACCAGUGGCGAAGGCGGGUCUCUGGACAGUUCCUGACACUGAGACACGAAGGCCAGGGGAGCAAACGGG
rnacentral:rRNA from 1 species